rnacentral:rRNA from 1 species
AUUGAACGCUGGCGGCAGGCCUAACACAUGCAAGUCGAGCGGGGUUUUCGGACCUAGCGGCGGACGGGUGAGUAAUGCGUAGGAAGCUACCCGAUAGAGGGGGAUACCAGUUGGAAACGACUGUUAAUACCGCAUAAUGUCUACGGACCAAAGUGUGGGACCUUCGGGCCACAUGCUAUCGGAUGCGCCUACGUGGGAUUAGCUAGUUGGUGAGGUAAUGGCUCACCAAGGCGACGAUCUCUAGCUGGUUUGAGAGGAUGAUCAGUCACACUGGAACUGAGACACGGUCCAGACUCCUACGGGAGGCAGCAGUGGGGAAUUUUGGACAAUGGACGCAAGUCUGAUCCAGCCAUUCCGCGUGCAGGAUGAAGGCCCUCGGGUUGUAAACUGCUUUGUACGGAACGAAAAGGUCUCUCCUAAUACGAGGGGCUCAUGACGGUACCGUAAGAAUAAGCACCGGCUAACUACGUG